rnacentral:rRNA from 1 species
GACCAGACUCCUACGGGAGGCAGCAGUCGGGAAUAUUGCGCAAUGGAGGAAACUCUGACGCAGUGACGCCGCGUAUAGGAAGAAGGUUUUCGGAUUGUAAACUAUUGUCGUUAGGGAAGAUACAAGACAGUACCUAAGGAGGAAGCCCCGGCUAACUACGUGCCAGCAGCCGCGGUAAUACGUAGGUGGCAAGCGUUAUCCGGAUUUACUGGGUGUAAAGGGCGUGUAGGCGGGGACGCAAGUCAGAUGUGAAAACCACGGGCUCAACCUGUGGCCUGCAUUUGAAACUGUGUUUCUUGAGUACUGGAGAGGCAGACGGAAUUCCUAGUGUAGCGGUGAAAUGCGUAGAUAUUAGGAGGAACACCAGUGGCGAAGGCGGCCUGCUGGACUGCGACUGACGUUGAGGCCCGAAAGCGUGGGGAGCAAACAGGAUUAGAUACCCUAGUA